UUUAUUGGAGAGUUUGAUCCUGGCUCAGGAUGAACGCUGGCGGCGUGCCUAAUACAUGCAAGUCGAGCGAAUGGAUUAAGAGCUUGCUCUUAUGAAGUUAGCGGCGGACGGGUGAGUAACACGUGGGUAACCUGCCCAUAAGACUGGGAUAACUCCGGGAAACCGGGGCUAAUACCGGAUAACAUUUUGAACCGCAUGGUUCGAAAUUGAAAGGCGGCUUCGGCUGUCACUUAUGGAUGGACCCGCGUCGCAUUAGCUAGUUGGUGAGGUAACGGCUCACCAAGGCAACGAUGCGUAGCCGACCUGAGAGGGUGAUCGGCCACACUGGGACUGAGACACGGCCCAGACUCCUACGGGAGGCAGCAGUAGG
rnacentral:rRNA from 1 species